rnacentral:rRNA from 1 species
ACGGAAGGCAGCAGUAGGGAAUAUUGCACAAUGGAGGAAACUCUGAUGCAGCGACGCCGCGUGAGUGAUGAAGUAUUUCGGUAUGUAAAGCUCUUUAAGCAGGGAAGAUAAUGACGGUACCUGCAGAAUAAGCACCGGCUAAAUACGUGCCAGCAGCCGCGGUAAUACGUAUGGUGCAAGCGUUAUCCGGAUUUACUGGGUGUAAAGGGAGUGUAGGUGGUUUGGCAAGCCAGAAGUGAAAACCCGGGGCUCAACCCCGUGGAUUGCUUUUGGAACUGUUGGACUAGAGUGCAGGAGGGGUAAGCGGAAUUCCCAGUGUAGCGGUGAAAUGCGUAGAUAUUGGGAAGAACACCGAUGGCGAAGGCGGCUUACUGGACUGUAACUGACACUGAGGCUCGAAAGCGUGGGGAGCAAACAGGAUUAGAUACCCUGGUA